rnacentral:rRNA from 1 species
GAAUUUUGGGCAAUGGGCGAAAGCCUGACCCAGCGACGCCGCGUGAGGGAUGAAGGCCUUCGGGUCGUAAACCUCUGUCGGAAGGGGCGAAAGGUUCUUGGGCGAAUAGGCCAAGGGCUUGACGGUACCUUCAAAGGAAGCGCCGGAUAACUCCGUGCCAGCAGCCGCGGUAAUACGGAGGGCGCAAGCGUUGUUCGGAAUUACUGGGCGUAAAGCGCAUGUAGGCGGCCUGGCAAGUCGGGUGUGAAAUCCCGGAGCUCAACUCCGGAACUGCAUCCGAUACUGCCAGGCUCGAGUCUCGGAGAGGAUGGCGGAAUUUCCGGUGUAGAGGUGAAAUUCGUAGAUAUCGGAAGGAACACCAGUGGCGAAGGCGGCCGUCUGGACGAUGACUGACGCUGAGAUGCGAAAGCGUGGGGAGCAAACAGG